rnacentral:rRNA from 1 species
UACGUAGGGGGCAAGCGUUGUCCGGAAUCAUUGGGCGUAAAGCGCGUGUAGGCGGCUCGAUAAGUCUGCUGUGAAAGUCCAGGGCUCAACCCUGGGAUGCCGGUGGAUACUGUCGGGCUCGAGUCCGGAAGAGGCGAGUGGAAUUCCUGGUGUAGCGGUGAAAUGCGCAGAUAUCAGGAGGAACACCUAUUGCGAAGGCAGCUCGCUGGGACGUAACUGACGCUGAGACGCGAAAGCGUGGGGAGCAAACAGG